GGGUAUAGCUCACUUGUACAGCCCAUGCUUAGCAUGCAUGAGGUCCUGGGUUCAAUCCCCAGUACUUCCA
rfam:TPA: Bos taurus chromosome 4, whole genome shotgun sequence.